rnacentral:lncRNA from 1 species
AGUGGGCUGGUGGGACAGCCCAAAAGGGCCCUAUGCGCCUAGGAAAGAAAAUCAAAGAGAAAAGAAAAAAAAGGGAGGUGGGAAGGGAAGGAAGGACUCCCACCCACCAAACCAAGUCCAACUCGGUCUGGGGGGGAGCCUUCCCCUUUGGACUCGUCCGACCCCCUUGGGGCUCCUUGAGCCCCAAGGCAAGGUCCCCUCCCUCCCACCUAUAUAUACGGAGGUUUUAGGGCUGAUUUGAGACGACUUUUCCACGGCAGCCCGACCACAUACCUCCACGGUUUUUCCUCUAGAUCGCGUUUCUGCGGAGCUCGGGCGGAGCCCUGCUGAGAUAAGAUCACCACCAACCUCCGGAGCGCCGUCAUGCUGCCGGAGAACUCUUCUACCUCUCCGUCUCUCUUGCUGGAUCAAGAAGGCCGAGAUCUUCGUCGAGCUGUACGUGUGCUGAACGCGGAGGUGUCGUCCGUUCGGCACUAGAUCGUGGGACUGAUCGCAGGACGGUUCACGGGGCGGAUCGAGGGACAUGAGGACGUUCCACUACAUCAACCGCGUUCACUAACGCUUCUGCUGUACGGUCUACAAGGGUACGUAGAUCACAUAUCCCCUCUCGUCGAUGGACAUCACCAUGAUAGGUCUUCGUGUGCGUAGGAAAAUUUUUGUUUCCCAUGCGACGUUCCCCAACAGCUGCCCGGUACCAAUCCUGGUGAUUACAUGAAGCAUUCAGUAAUUUUUUAUAUAGCUGAGGUAACAAAUAAACAAACAUAUGAAUACGUGCUCGGGAAGCCUCUGGUCAAACCUGAUCAUCCUCCUCUAACACCGAGGAUGCACGAAUUGCAUGAGUGGUACAUGAACAUCUUCAGGGAGACUGGGAAAGACGCUAUCUAUAUGAGAGUGAAAAAAGAUCACGAUUUCAUUGGAACUUCAGUGCUGCUUGUUCAAUUUGAGGAGUUAUUUCAGUUAUACAAUCAACUGGCCUCGACAAACAAUUCAUGACUUCCUACUGUUUGUAAGUAUUACUUCUAUAAUUAAGUCUCUAGCUCAUCUCGUUCAUUUCAUGUAUAUAUAAUUAUCCUUACUAUAUAUAUUAUGCAGCUUCAAGAUCGUCGAAUUAAAAAAAGCAGGAAUCUUCGACGUUGGGUUCAUUAGCCCAGAAGCCGUAAAUGUAUUGUCGGUACGAAAUGAAACCAAAGAGACCGAGGUUAGCUUGCUAAACUCUUUGCUUGCAAUUCAAAACAAAAGGGAAAUACUCUUUCCUUACAACUUCAAGUGAGUGUUGCUGUAUUCUCUGUAUACUCGUUUCGCUUACUCGAGGUUAAGUAAAUGUAAUUGAUGAGUUAUAUAUGCGUGCGCAGUUACCACUUUAUUCUGCUAUCCAUUAAGCUUGACGGGGUAAAAGUAAUUGUCUUAGACUCGAGACGUAAAGAUCCCGAGGAUUAUGCGGACAUGACUGCAAUGCUCAAGAAGUAAGUUCAGUCAAUACCAGGACCAUACCGGCAUGCAACUUUCAUUAAUUUCCUGAUAUCAAGUAAUCAUUUUCCUUGUCUGGCAAGGUUUGGAAGAAGUUCACCUCAAAGUCUCCCGGUCUAAACAAAGAGUUGCAAUUUACGCACCCCCCCCCGGUAAGUAGUACUAUCUAGUUCCGUGCAUCUCUAAUUGAUUCAAAUUUUCAUCAAUAUAUCAUUACCAUGCUUGCUUAUCAGUUUGAUUGAACUCUAUUCUCAUAAAGUGCUUGUACCAGGUAGCUGGAACUGAAAAAUGUGCAUACUACGUAUGCGAGUUCAUUCGCCUCUCAACCUCUGGGCGAGGCAUCUCUGACAAACAAUUUGAAGUACGUAAAUAAUAUUCACAAUUUUAUUUUAUAUAUUACCAUCAAUUGUGUUGAGUUUUAUUCAUAUAUAUAUGCAUGUAUUGACCCCCUUCUUUAAAUUAGAUCUGAAAGAAGCGGGAUGAACCCCUAUCAGAUGAUGGCAUACGAGCAAUCCAAGAGGAAUUGGCGGGAUUCUUUCUUGACCACGUCAUACGGAGAAUACCAUGUGAGCUAUUUGUGAUUGAAUCUUAGGUAGAUGAUGUUAGGCAUUGUAAAAGAUGUUAGGGAUUGUAAAUGGUUUCCUUCAUUUUCUUAUUAGCUAGCGUCAUGUUCUCUCUAUAUGUAUAGUAGCUAGCGUCGACCAAGCACGGAGAAAGAGAGGACACUUCUCUCUAGUAGCUAGCUAACACAAUAAAAAACCACUAAAUUAACCCUCCACCCCCACCCCCAUUCAGAAAAAACAAAACCCCCAGCUCCGGCCAGAUGCUGACGCGUGGAUGCCAUGUUGUCCCGGUUAGUAUGACCAACCGGGACUAACGGCCCUCCUGCUCGGGCUCCCCGCAGCGGACACGUGGAGACCCUUCGGUCCCGGUUGGUAAGCGAACCGGGACUAAAGGUUUUGGGCUUUAGUCCCGACACUUUAGUCCCGGUUCCGGAACCGGGGCUAAUGAGCCUAUGGAACCGGGACAAAUGUGCCUUUUUCUACUAGUGGUAGUCAUCGUAAGCCUUUAAUCCCCCCAUAAUGCGGAAAAACAAUGGUUUUUUGCAUGCAAAAAACGGCGACGAAACCAGUGAUGAUCCAAAAAAGUUAGGUAUGGAGCAAAGUAGUCCUUCUAUAGUAGCCGUGCGCCGCAGACCCUAUCCCGAUUGAUCAUUCUUCUUUUUUUGAUUGAGCCCUUGAAAUUAGGAAUAUGCUCUGCCGGUCCAUUUACUCUUACAUGUUCAUGAGCAUGAUCAUGUCCAGUUCUUCGUGUGAAUUCAACGAAUCGAAGAACUCAUCUUCAAUCAUUUGAUCGAACUAUGUCAGUCCAUACUCCUCGUCCAACGAAGCAUCAGAAUUCAUUGUUUUUCCUAAAAAUCGCAAGAAACGGGCUGGACAAUGUAUCGCAAGGGCCAGCUCGAGAAUUGUCGGGCGUACCACAGUGGUGUCCGGGCCGGCAACGACGUCGUGGGCUGUGAGGAUUGAAUAGAGGAGUGUUGUGUCGAUGUUGUCGGCGCACAUGCUCCGCAACGGCGGAGCAGGUGAGAUACGUUGGGGAGGAGCAACAGAAGAUAGCAAAUGGAUGGAUGGGGUAGAUUUGAUGCAAUUUAUGAUGGGGUAGGCCUCUAGGGCGGACGCAUCCGGACGCCUUCCUUAUCCGUCUUUGAUUUGGUUGAUCAGCCCGGGUGUUUGAGGCGUUCACGUGAAUCAUAUUUUUGUGACCAGUCAAUGAUCAAACCGUAUGUGUGAAUGUUUGGAGCGGGUUUGAGAUGCUCGGCUUACCCGUCAGAAUGUCAUACCUUAUUUCUAUAUGUCUGUUCUUGCACGCCCAGUUACCGGUGAGAUUGAACGAUGUGCAAAUGAUACAGCAGGAUGUCUCGGUAGCUAAAAAGUAGGAUCUGAUGUGUGUUGUACUCCAAAUUCCGUGCGUACGUAGCGACGACGUAACGAGGAGCGUCCAAGCAAGAUCCAAUUGUUUGUAACGCGUAUAACCCUGCUUAGCACCUGGCCGUUGCCAAUAAUUUGAGUGUGGCAUGGUAGCUGUGGCUACCUGUCCUCGCCAGCAAAGCAUCUUCUGUUCAUGUCCAUUUGGAUGCUGAACGAUUGUCCAAUGCUAUGCUUUGGACAGUUGCGCAAGCUAGCUAGCUUCCUUAUAUUCAACAAUUAGCUGGUCAGCUGUUAAGAUGCUUUGGCUUAGUUAGGUUGCUGCAGCAUCCAGCUUCAUGGCUUUGUGCAAACGGUUUGUCAACUUGGAAUUCUUGUGGUUUUCUUUUGUAGGACGACGGAGGUUUUUGGGCGGCAAGAUAUAAGCGCCAGCUAGAACUUGGGACAUACUAGCAACGAACAAAAUCUGCUUGGGAAAUGAGUGUCGAAGCUUGGCUACAUCCUACAUGCUCGACGUAUAUUGUACCGCAUCAUGCACGUAUGGUGUGGCCCACACAUGCAUAUACACCGACAAAUGUACUCCCACUGACUGGUGCCCGGAUUCAGAAUACAGAAUACGAGGAUCCAGUGAGAUCCAAGUCCAGAGCUAGCGCGAGGACCAAACCACGGAUUACCCCGAUACGUCGGCCACCGCCCAAGAACUGGUCAUGUAGUACGAGUACACCUGUCGACCGCCGGCUGCAUACGGAUACGGCCACAUGCACCCGCGCGCGCCCAAGUUCCGCGGGAAACGGGCGUAUAACGGUCAGGUCUGGUCGGUCCUUGCCGUCACACGCCCAGCCGGCAGCGGGACGGGCGCGUCAAGGCGAUGACAGCUGGGGAAAAUCAAGCUCCGCGGAUCGCCCAACACCAGCCCAAUUGUCUAGUCGGCGAGCCAGCGCGCGCCUUUAAUUCCAUCGCCGAAAAUACGUAUCUGUUUAUUCAAGAAUUGUUUAGGAAAAAGUUGGGAACGGAAGAAAGAAACCGGCACCCGUAUCCUCCCCGCUGAGUAAUGCUACACCUACAAAGGCUUACUUAAAGAUUUUACGUACAAACUGAUGUGUAAGAUUGUGAUGGUUAUUGAGGGAUGAGGGGCCCCACCCUUACUGAAAAUCAUGGAAGGAGAGAAGAGUUAGUUUAAAAGGUUAAGUAAACUUUUGUAAGUUUUUAUUGAUCCUCCCCCGCCCUCGCACUCCUCACCCAUGUCACCGUCCGCCUUGACGCCGCCCGGUGUUAUCACGUGCGCCGCCACGCGCAGCGUCUACGUGGAGGCCACAGGCGCAGCGGAGCCGGCCGACUGGAAGCCGUAAAAGUGUUUUCUAGUAGGUGACCGGCGGCGAUGCCGUUCGUGCGCGCGGACGGACGCGCACCGGCCGUCGUGCCCGCCGCGCUCGCGCGCUGGCUCACGGGAUUCGCGAGCUCCGCGGGGGUGGGCCAGCGCGCGCAGCGCAAUCGCGCUGGGUGGGUCGAUCGGGGGCCCCUUGCCUGCUCCCCGCCAUGCGCCAUGUCGCCGUCAACGUACCGCUCAUGGGUUUCGUGCCCGGCCCAGUUUCGCAGCGCUCGCUUGCGACACGCGCUCUGUGAUCUCAGCCACUCCAUCCGGAUAUGGACACCCCCAGCGCUCGUCCGCUCACCUGCCCCUCCCAGCCUCGGGUAUUUGGGUAACCGCUACUACUUGUCAGGACCAUGCAAGCAAAACUGGAUUGGUUCAAGAUGGAUGAACCGCUGUUGAUAUCGAGAGCAGGCUUUGCCGUGAAUAUAUAUGGUUAGACGACGACGCUGCGAAGCUAUCUAUAAUAUGCAUCCACCGUUCGACCCUGCCAUAUCACUUCACCCCAUACUGUCACGCCAAAGCCGGCACCACCCCCAACCUACCACGUCUCCCCGCCCGCGCCCGCGCCAGCUCCGGCUUUGCCCAGGCACGUCCGUCGACACAAUUCCGAUAGUCCAGCCAGCCAGCCAUUCAUCCGCUGCGAUCUCUCUCCCUUAUUAGUACGCCCCCACCCUCUCCCUCUCCUGCCCACAGUCCCACUCCCACGACACCAACAGCUGCGCCAACAGCAACAGCCCAGCUCCCCACUACCAGACGUACCACGUACAGAGCUUAGCACCACCCAUGGCCGCGGAGGAGCCCAAGAAGGUGGAGGUGGAGGCGGCGCCGGAGCCGGAGCCCGCACCCCCGGCGGCGGAGCCUGAGGCCCCCGCCAAGGACGUCACCGAGGAGAAGGCCGUCAUCCCCGCGCCCGCGNNNNNN